rnacentral:rRNA from 1 species
GAUGAACGCUGGCGGCGUGCUUAACACAUGCAAGUCGAACGGGAAUGUUUCGCUGAUGCGAUUUCGGUCAAAUCUUGAAGCAUUUUAGUGGCGGACGGGUGAGUAACGCGUGGGUAACCUGCCCUGUACAGGGGGACAACAGUUGGAAACGACUGCUAAUACCGCAUAAGCGCACAGCUUCGCAUGAAGCAGUGUGAAAAACUCCGGUGGUACAGGAUGGACCCGCGUCUGAUUAGAUAGUUGGUGAGGUAACGGCCCACCAAGUCAACGAUCAGUAGCCGGCCUGAGAGGGCGAACGGCCACAUUGGGACUGAGACACGGCCCAAACUCCUACGGGAGGCAGCAGUGGGGAAUAUUGCACAAUGGGGGAAACCCUGAUGCAGCGACGCCGCGUGAGUGAAGAAGUAUUUCGGUAUGUAAAGCUCUAUCAGCAGGGAAGAAAACAAUGACGGUACCUGACUAAGAAGCCCCGGCUAACUACGUGCCAGCAGCCGCCGCUG